rnacentral:rRNA from 1 species
GACGAACGCUGGCGGCGUGCUUAACACAUGCAAGUCGAACGUGAUUUUUGUGGAAAUUCUUUCGGGAAUGGAAAUGAAAUGAAAGUGGCGAACGGGUGAGUAACACGUGAGCAACCUACCUUACACAGGGGGAUAGCCGUUGGAAACGACGAUUAAUACCGCAUGAGACCACAGAAUCGCAUGAUAUAGGGGUCAAAGAUUUAUCGGUGUAAGAAGGGCUCGCGUCUGAUUAGCUAGUUGGAAGGGUAAAGGCCUACCAAGGCGACGAUCAGUAGCCGGUCUGAGAGGAUGAACGGCCACAUUGGAACUGAGACACGGUCCAAACUCCUACGGGAGGCAGCAGUGGGGAAUAUUGCACAAUGGGGGGAACCCUGAUGCAGCGACGCCGCGUGAGCGAAGAAGGUUUUCGAAUCGUAAAGCUCUGUCCUAUGAGAAGAUAAUGACG